rnacentral:rRNA from 1 species
UACCAGCUCUCCGAGUGGUAGGGAUGAUUAUUGGGCUUAAAGCGUCCGUAGCCGGCUUAGCAAGUCUCCUGUUAAAUUCAGCGACCUAAUCGUCGAGCCGCGGGAGAUACUACUAGGCUAGGAGGCGGGAGAGGUCAACGGUACUUCCGGGGUAGGGGUGGAAUCCUAUAAUCCCGGGAGGACCACCAGUGGCGAAGGCUGUAGACUAGAACGCGCUCGACGGUGAGGGACGAAAGCUGGGGGAGCGAACCGGAUUAGAUACCCGGGUAGUCCCAGCUGUAAACGAUGCGAGCUAGGUGUUGGGGUGGCUACGUGCCACUUCAGUGCCGCAGGGAAGCCAUUAAGCUCGCCGCCUGGGGAGUACGGCCGCAAGGCUGAAACUUAAAGGAAUUGGCGGGGGAGCACCACAAGGCGUGAAGCUUGCGGUUC